AAGACUGUUUGUUUAAUAAAUGCUUUUUAUUACAGGAAGAUCAACUCAUUCAAUCAAUAUUCUUCCUCCUACAUUUGGUAAUGUUUAAUUUUACCUGCUAUUCAGCUACAGUCACAUAACAUUACAUUACAUAUUACAAUAUAUUCACAUUAUAUAUCACAAAAAAACAAAAACAAUAUUCUCAUUUCUGCCAGAAUGAAAUAAAGAAAUACAUUAUUUAUCUAUUUUUUUUUCUUUAUCAGCUGGUGAUGACGAAGAAGCUCAGAACAGACUGAUCUCAGCGGAACCUGGUGAUGAUGAUGGUGAUGAAGGUCAGAACAGACUGGUUGCAGGACUGACUCCAGGCAGACGUGAGUUCAUCACCAUAUCAUAACCAGAACGUCCAAUAAACACUGAAUACAGAACA
rnacentral:lncRNA from 1 species